AGCACCUACUCACUGUGAGUUGUUCCCACCUACACAGGUGCUGCUCUUCUGCUCUGUUCCAGUAUGAACUCAAACCAGUUUGCAUAAACCACUAACUGCAAGAGCAUUCCUCAUCCUCUGAUGUCUCCAUUUGUUCUCUUUGAUUUCAUGAUAUAAGUGCUCACAUCAGGCUGCUUUACUAUUAUAUGCUGGAAUUCCCCUGUGUUUCCUUAUCCACACCUCAUGCUCCGUCUUUUCUUGAUCAGAAGAAGAUCUAACCCAGGAGGACUGGGGGACUCAAACUAGGGGAAAACACAGCUCAGACUUAAAGGUGUGGUUCUGUUGCUGAAAAGAGAUUUUGAGUGUCACACUGGACACCACAGGGUAUCCUGCUCAUCCCUUAAAUGCCUCUCUGGAAAACAUGAGUCUCAGGUAAGUUUUGUAUUUUAGCUCCCAGUCCCACAAGGAUGCUCAAUGCCCACACCUGAAUCUAACUCAUUAACCCACUACAUAGCUUACCUUUAAGUCUGAGCUGUGUUUUCCCUUAGUUUGAGUCCCCCAGUUAGAUCUUCAUCUGAUCAAGAAAAGAUGGGUCCCUGGAUGAGCAUGAAGUGUGGAUAAGGAAACACAGGGCAAUUCCAGCAUAUAAUAGUAAAGCAGGUGUGAUCCACACCUGGAUCUGAAUAAUUUUUCUCUGGAGCACGGUGCAUUAAGUGUUUCAAGCACAUAUAUAUUCCCUCUUCUUUGCACCAACUGAAGAUGUCAAAGUAAUGCAUAGGACUUAGUCUUUAAAAGUGAUGCCAAAAGUAUUUUUCAAGAUAUGUAUGAUCUAAAAAAUAACAUCCAAGUACUGGAGCAUUUCUCUUUCCAAACCACAUUUACACCAGCAGUUUUUCACCAGAUUCCAUAUGCAGCACUUAACUUGGUGGGAAGGCUGUUGAUCCAGACAAAUCACACAGCUCUGCACAGCAGCACUGACUCUUUUUCUGUCCACAUAGAAUAUCUGCCAACGGAGAGCUGGAUAAAGGCUUUGUAUUUAAGUUUGUAAUGCCACAACCAGCUAACAGGGCUUGGGAGUUAUAGGGGAGGCUCACCUGGUCACCCUGUGCCUGUCAUUGUGCAGGGCUGCUAAUUAUUCCCUUCUUAUUACUGCCUGCCUUCUAUAAACAGCUGAUUAUGAUUUAUGAAAAAAUAUCUCACCCAUAUUUGGAUUAUGAGACAGAUAUGACUGUAUAUUUCAAGUCCAGAGCCAACUUGGCAGAGCGCAUGUGUGUUUUCAUGCUCUAAAUGCACAGUCUGUCACUCAAAGGAUCGCUGUUCCUAAACCUCCAAGAUGAGGCAGGACCAACAGCACUCUGACUUGGGGCAGUUUUGGGAGGAGUGGUGGGAGGUUUGAGGUGAAGGAUGGAUUUCUCUGCUCCCAGUCUGCCUGCUGUGGUGACCAGUCACUGCACUGGGGAUGGUGGGACACAACUCAGAGAGACAAAAACCCAUGUUAUGUUGAGUCAGAAAAGGAGACAUAAGCGAGGUGGGGACUAGUUGGUUUAACAUCUCCAGAGGCACUUUUAAGGCAUGGGAAAAAUGCAUCACAAGGGGAGUUAUUUCUUGCCUCUUUUUAGGUUCUUUCUCCUUCAAACUAUUUUCUCUGCUGUCCCCUCUGUAGUGUUUACCUGUUUCAUCUCUCCGUGCAUUCCUAUUUUUCUCUUCUCCUUGGCCAAGAUACUCAGAGGAAAUACAAGCGAGAGCCAAGAGUUGCCACAGGGUCUGGUUUUCUGAGAGCUGAGGAGAAUGGGAGAGAAGAGGCAGAGAAGCUGCUCAGAUCAGGGAUUCCUUCCUUCCUUCCUUCCUUCCUUCUUUCCUUUUUUCCUUCCUUCCUUCCUUCCUCCUUCCUUCCUUCCUUCCUUCCUUCUUUCCUUUUUUCCUUCCUUCCUUCCUUCCUUCCUUCCUCCUUCCUUCCUUCCUUUCUUCCUUCUUCAUAGAAUCAUAGAAUGUCCUCAGUUGGAAUGGACCCACAGGGAUUAUCAAGUCCAAGUCCUGUCUCUGUACAGGACAAGCUCAAAAUUCACACCAUGUGUUUGAGGGUGUUGUCCAGUUGUUUUUUGAGUAUUGGGGCUGUGACACCUCCCUGGGGAGCCUGUUCCAGUGUCCAGCACCCUCUGGGUGAAGAACCUUUUCCUCAUGUCCAACCUAAGCCUCCCCUGGCACAUCUUCCUGCCAUUCCCUCGGGUUCUGUCAUUGGUCACUGAAGAGAAGAGCUCAGCCCUGCCCAUCCUGCUCCCCUUGUGAGGAAGCUGUUCCCGCCACGAGCUCUCCCCUCAGUAUCCUCCUCUCCAGGCUGAACAAACUCAGUGACUUCAGCCACUCCUCACACAGUUUUCCCUCCAAACCCUUCACCAACUUCGUAGCCGCUUCUGGACACUCUCCAGUAGCUUUUUAUCCUUUUUAUCCUGUGGCGCCCAGACCUGCACGCAGUGCUGCAGGUGAGGCCGCAGAGCGGGACAAUCCUCCCCUUUAGCUGGGGAGCCUGAACCAGCUGUCGCCAACUGUCUCACCCGAUGGCGGGUGGCAGCGGGAUUCCAGCCCCUCCUCUCUUGGCCUGAGGUGUGUGGUGACAUGUCAGAGUUGGCAGCUCGCAGCUGUGUUCUGGGCUCCAUGCUCACACACCCUUCAUGCCCACACAAAUAUCACAGGAGAGGACUCACUCUGGGGCUUCUGGAAAGUCUACGGCACUCAGAGACUUUCCUCGGGCUUAUUGAUUUUUGGUGCUGACCCAACACAGGUACAUAAUGUAUACAAACACAUAUACACACAUGAAUAUAUUACAUAUUAUGUAUAUAUUAAUGCAUAUAUGCUAUACAGAUUAUAUUCUCCAACCUUAGUUAGACACCAUUUAGCCUGAAGCCGUUUUUCAUAAUUUCAUAAUAGCUGUUUGAUCACUGGGUGAGAAAAAAUGAGAUUAUAAACUCGGCUACUGAAUAUUUAGCAGUGAGCAUUAUUCUCAUCCCAGAUGUGCUGUAUUUUACCAGUAGUGAGGGCAGGCUAUGAAAAUAGUUGUCUCAGGAGAUUUGAACAUAAACCAGUUUAUGAAUAGUCAGAGCAGGGGUAGGUUUCAGACUCUAGUCCAAGUAAAUAUAUUAGAUCUUUGCAGGACUAACCCUGGGAAGUGAGUCACUGACAUCUGAAAUAACUUUGUAGUCAAGAUAGUCUCCAUAAAGACAUGAGUCUUGUUUACAAAGACCCUGAAGUUGGCUGACAAAAUAUUUACUUUGAAAUGAAACUUGAGUUUCUUCAAUUUUCUGCACCUUGAGAAUAAUUGUAUUAAGUAAGCACAGCACUUACAUUGAUGUACUGUAAGCAUUUAGGUGGUAUUACUUCUGCAAAUUCCUCACUGAUUUACAAAGAGGGACAACACUGUUGACAUUUUACAAAAGCAGAAACAGAGGCACAGAGGGCUUGAGUGAUUAGGCCAUUAAUAUAUUGUGUUAUCCUGGACUAGGCAGGAAACUAGGGCUAGUGUUCAGCCCUCACAAUAUCAGUACGGAAUGGAUAUGAUUACUGAUUUAAUAUCACUGUUCUAAAACAAUAGGUUAUAUUUUACAUGGAAUAUGGACUGGAUUAGGGACUUUUCUCAAGGGUGUUACACUGAUUUAGCCCUGCGCAGAGAGACUCCAUCACAUUUCAAGGCUAAACCAGACCAAAAUACUUCCUUAGGCUAAUUUGUGAGGGUCAGUCGAGAACAUUUUUCUGCACAGUAACAUCACGGAGGUAUCAUUAAAGAUACCAUAAAGAAAGAAAAAAGUAAGGUUAAAAUAAUUGUAUGUGCUUUUUUUUUCAAAGGAUAACAAUUGCAUAAUAACAAGAAUGCUUUCUUACUGGCAUUACCAUUGCUCUGUCACUGCUACAAUGUUUAAAAUUAGUGUAAUGAACGAAUGUUUAAAGAUGAAUAUGAAUGCAAAUUAUAAACCUAUUUUCCCCCUUGACUGCUUUGAUUUAACUAAACAGGCAUGAAAAACAAGAUUGAGAAGUCAGUUAAAGACAGUCCCUGAAGUUUUGAUGAUGAUCUGUGGACAAUGACUGGUGCCUAAACUGCCUUUGCUCCUCUAAAUUGGAGCUCUUGAUGUACGCCUUAGAGGUAGUGGCUUUUUUGAAAGAUGAUCUAAUGCCACGUUGGUGGGAAGUUGUCCUAGUGAUCCAUGGUGGCUGGAGGAGAUAAAGUUAACUAAGCUGCACACUGUUGUUACAGAUGGCCCGAGUCUUCAUCCUUUUGACAGACGUAAACCUAAUCAGCUUCUGCUAAUGACAGAUUUAAACUCAUAACAUAUUGCCUUGUCCUGCUGGGUCUACACUAUUUAUACUCAUGUCAUCAUUUUCCACUAAUAUAAACAAUAUCCGGUUUCAGAAGUUCACUCUUAAUUUACAGGUAUAUUUUUCCAUUGGCAGUUCUUCAACAUCAGUGAAUAGCUUCGUCGCAGGCUUUGCAGUACUUGAACUCAAUCUCAGUUUUGGUUUGGAGAUGGUUCACUGGAAACCAGGCUCAUAAAAUAAUUGUUGUUAUACAUAAUUAGGCACUGUAUUUACAUUUUUCAGCAGGGAUUGUAAUACUGAAUUAAAAUUUGGGAAAAGAAUCUUCUGAAAUCACCUGCAAAUGGUGGCAAUAUUGGCUUCCUGAGUCUGCAAGCAGCCCGGUUCGUAAAGAUGGGAAUUUCCCUUUUCAUCUCAGUAAGAUUUUAACAUCAAAAUCUAAUAAUGUUUUCUGAACAUUGGCUCUAGUUAUUUUGAUUUUGGUCAUUACAACAGAUAGAAUUUGACAGAUUAAAUUUGAUUUUGCAGUUGGCUUCUGUUUAUUACUGUUUUAUCUCUUUGUGCAUUGUCAUGGAGCUGUUGUCAUCCCUAAGAAAAUGACAAAAGGUAUCACUGCUAUCACUGUAAUCCAGUGACUGGAUCUAUAUUUGGAUGUGGACUCAAAAGUAAACAUGGUAAUUCAUUGGGGUCCUAAGUCCCAAGAGUCUGCACCAAUACCUUAAAUGAUGCCACAAGACCAGCUCAACAAGAAAAGUAGAACUCAAGUUUUUUGGUUGUCAGAUUUUUUUUUGAGGUUUCAUCUUUCAGGUAGAAAUAUUACAUGUUUAUGCAAGCCUUCUGACUGGCUCUUUUGGAUAUUAAAGACCCAAGCACCUUUUUGUGCCGCACAUCCUUGACUUGCUGGCAAAAAACAGCUUUUCCUGUUAGAGCAGGAGCCAAUAUUAAAAGGAAUGCCUAGGCUGGUGCUACGUGCAAGUUUACAGGUGGCACUUUUGUCUCCCAGUAACAUUAAUUAUUUUUAAUCACAAAGCACUCUGAGAUAUUAGUAAAUGGAAAAAUACAGAACUUCUACUCUUGACAUGACUAUGACAGAAAGUAGGGAACUAAGUAUCAGUCACUAGUACCCAAAAAAGUGGAUACUAACAGUAUUUGAAAUCAGUGACCACAAAAUAAGGCCUACAACUGUUUGUCCAGUUCAAAGUUCAUGUACAAUUGAAGUAUACACAGUGCCACCUUCUGUAAUUAAUGGGCUAAAGUGAAUUAAGUUUGGAAUCUUCAUGUAUGCAGAUGUGAUUCUUUUUUGUUGUAUGAGAAAACUCUACAGGGUUUCUUGGUGAAGUCCUAUAUAUCUAGAAAGGAAAACCACUCCUCUCUGAAAAGGUUUAUAGCCUACAUGUUUAAUCAAACCUCUUUAAACUUCAGAUGUAAGAACAGAACUUACCACAGAAAGAUAUGAUGACAUUGUAAGAUAUGUUAAGCAAAAGGCUUAAGUGAAGCUUCCAAAACUCUUGAAAUAUUUUACCAGUAGAAAUGGUUUAAUAGUGUCAUGGUUUGAAUAUUGGAUUUGGGCUGCCAAGUCUUCAUGCAGGGCCUAAAUACUCUAUGUGUGACAAUUAAGAAAUGUUCAGGCUAGUUUAUUAGAAUGCAAGAGUAUCUCCAUACUCAAUGCUCCUGACACACGUCACCUUUUGAUAUGAACAGUGCAAUGAGUUGAGAGUCUAUGAGAGAAACUCAAAAAACCCACAACUUUAUGUAGACCAUGAAUUUAAACCUCCUGCCCCCUUGCUCAUGCAGGGAUUUUCAUAUGGGUUCAAUAAAAUUGUGCAAUGCUCCAAAUUUGUGGGUAAAAUCAGCUUUUUCUCAUAAAGAAAGUGGUUAAGUAUAAUUUUCAGUUUACAGUUGGAAGUGGUACGGAAACUGUGAGUAAUAGACAAUGUAACAAGUAGUCAUGCAAAAUUAUUCCAACAGUUAAUAAUAAUUACCGUAGUUUCAAUUGUAUCAAUAUGCCGCACAUAUAAUACACAGGCACAUACAGAAAUAUGAAACAGAAAUCUUUAUAGUCUAAUCAAAAGCUUUUUAUUGUGAGGAUGAAAAAUAGGUCAACAGCUCACAUUAUACUAGGUUAAUAGUAACAAAAGUGAAAGACAGCUCUGUAUGGAUAAUACAUCACACACAUCCCUUGGAAGCGUUGGAGAAUUCAGUCUAUACCAUGUGAAAAACAAAACGGGGUACAAUAAAAUCUAGGCAUUUUUAUUAAGCUGUGCAGAUUUAUUAAGCUGUGCUGUAAAAAUUAGGCUUUUGAUACUCAUGAACUGCUUUUUUUGUACUUUUCCCCCCCUCCCCUUACUGCAGCAAACUUUGUACCUCUGGCUUCAACUAGGAGUUGCUCACGAUGCCCGUGUGUGUUACCAUCAAAACCUGGUUUUGCUCCAGAAGAUCUAGACACAUCCUCUCUGCCUCUUCUGGAGGAUGAAUGAAAACUGACACAGAACCCUCAGUGCACAGAAAUGGUGCUGUUUGGCUGACACUUCACAUAAUCAUAGAAAACAGGGCUGAGGGACGGAUCCUCCUCUAUCUUAGUGUAUAUCUCCCCAAAAUAGCUAUAUUUUUUACAGGUCUGCCGAAGGAAGCACAUUGUGGGAAUGGGAGAAAAUGUUCUGAAAUCUUAUUUCCCAAAGAACUCUGUUGAAAAUAGAUGUCAUUUGGUCUAAUUUGACUAAUUCCUUAGUCAGAUCUACUUGGCAGAAACAGCUGUAGCGCUGGCUCGCUAAUAAAGUUUUCUAUUUUCUUUCAUUGCCUCUAAGGACAUUAUCUCGUGGUUCUGCUUUCUUACAAUUAUUCUGGUCCUGUUUCCUUCUAAAAUAUUUCUGUUUCAAAUCCAUCAACCAUUCACAUACAAAAUAAAUAUUAGCAUCAUGUUUCAAUAACAAGUGUUUACACUACACACCCAGUCAGCUUGCCAUGAAUCAGAGAAUCUUUUCUGAUGACAUGUAUUUGGAAGAAGCACAAUUUAUCUAGGUAACAGAAUAAAUUGGUCUUACCUUUUAUCUAUGUACAGUCCUGUUACAGUCCUAUAAAAUUCCCCACAGCACACGACACACGAAGCAAACAAACAUAUCCUCAUCCAGGACUCAGAGCUGGCUGAGUUUUGGGUUUCACCAAGAUCCAAGAGCCCAAGCUGGAUCAUACGCUUGCUGUGAAACCAGAGAAGUAAAUGAGCCUGUCAAGUCCUAACUAGCAUUAUAUGACAAAUUUAAUUUGGCAAGAAUAUAUAGUUCAGUAUUUUGUCAAACUUGCUGAGCCUUGUAUAUUCCGUAUAUGUACCUCAAUCAACUGAUAUCCUGAAUUCAGGAGGUUCUAAGGAAAACAUACAAAAAUUAAAUCAAACUUUGUUUCACUGUGUGAUUUUUAGAAGCCAGUGCUUCAAAAAGAUUAUGUCAAGAAAAAUAAAAACUAUAAUCUGGAGUGGUUCUACUAUUAUACGGGCUGUCAGCAGUGCAACUCUUCAAACCAUUAGUUGCUGCAAGUGAAUGUAGAAAUAACUGAAUUUAAGCUAUUUGCUUAGCUUUUAGCUUAGAUCAUAGAUACAGGGUAAAAUUAUACUCUUUUCAGAUUUGUUACAGACUUAAGGGGCUUCUACAAACGCUGUUCUGCUGGCAGCAGAAAACACAGAGGUUGAUCUGACGCCUGAUUAGUUGCUCCUACCUCCCUCAGAAUGAAGACCCACAUCUCCAGAAAAAAGGCCAGUGGUCAAUGUGAAAGUUUGGUUUGAGUUCCCUCACUGAAAGGGCAGCACAGCACUGGCUAAAAUCUGCCCAAUAUUACAGCUCAAACCUUCUCUAACACCACCAUAAAAGCAUUCUUUAAUGCUGCUCUUCUCUAAUAGUGCCAUUCUCUAACACUGUGAUGUUCCCCCCUCCGCUGCCUGCUCUGGCAGCUCUCCAAACUAUUGCUUCUAUUUCUAUUUCUAUCCCGCUUGCUUUGUAUCAAGCCCUGCAAAACAACAAGUAGGCAAUUUACGAUGUAAAUAAUUUUUUUGUAUAAGUGGGAAAUGGUCUGCAGGCAUAACUGUGAGUACCAAGUAUAAGGUUGGAAAUGGGGGCAUUUAUUUUCUUUCUUUUCUGCAGUAGGCUGAAUGGUUUUGAACUGGUGUUCUAAGCCAGGGUGUCCAAGCCUGUCAUUGUCACAGAUCUCUGUUUUAAAGGUGGAAAAUUGGGUGGUUGUAGCUGUAGAUGCAGAUGGCAGGGUACCGAAAAGAGUACUGAAAAGUCAGGGUACUGAAAAGUCAAUGAAGAUUAAAUCUUCCAUCCAUGGCCCAUAGGCCAGCUACCAGCCUUUCACACUUUCUCCUUUCCACAAUCCCUUUAAAAUAAUAUUUAUGGAUGUAUGUAUUUGCAUCUACUUAAUUAAUCUCAGAAUCUAUAAUUUAAAAGUUUUGACAUGAAGGGAUGGAGAUUUUUUUCUUAACUCCUACCUGUAGAGCAGGUUUCUAACCCAAAUCUUGGGCUGUGUAAAGGGAAAAAGGUCUGCUCCUAGGUAGCCAGCAGCUUGAUCCUGAAUAAAUGUAUCAUGAGAAAAGAAUUCAAGGGAUAAGCACUCUAUUUUUUCGAUAAGAUCAGAUUUGGUAGGAAAUACCCACUUUCUAAUACAGAUAGAAGCAUGCCUGCCUUAUCAUCUUGCAUCUGUCUAUAGGAUUGUUAGCUUCUGCCUGAAGAUAAACCUCUUUUUAAAGGCAGAAUACUUGAAAACAGUUUCCAAAACAUACAAAACAUACCAAAGCACUGUGGGAAUAUACACCCUGCUCAUUAAAAAAAAUAAAUAAAAUUGAAGUGGCAAUGGUCUUCUGUGUUGACAACAAAUUUCAACAUAAUGCCAUCAAUGUUCAAAAUAAUAACAUACUCAAAUUCUUGUUAAUCUCAAAUGAGUGAAAUAUUAUAAUCUGAUUAGUUCUCCUAGUGGGAAAGGCUGGAAGUGACUUCAAAUACCUGAAGAUCUAUGAAAGGUGUGGGUCACCAGAGGCAAUGUUCUGCAUACACAUGUUCAGUGUUAUGUUUUACAGCCUGAAGCAAAUGUUGUUAUGCAUGAAAGGACAGAACAUCUAGUCAUUUCUCACUUAAGAACAUCGUCAAACACCUGCAUAAUCUUUCUACUGCUGUAUGGAUCCCCUUUCCCCCUGGAUCACAUGAAAGUGUUCUAUUAAUGUGAAUUGGCUGAUGUUGGAGAACACUAUGCUGGACAGCUAUGAAGUGUAAGGAAUUCGACCCAGGGAGCUGCAGGGCUGUGACACAUCAGUUCUUCACAGGAAUUCUCAGUAGCUGGGUGAGAAUAACCCGAGACAGGUCCCGCACACUGGGUGCAGGCUGCCGGGGUUGUUAGUACACUGUUUGCUUACGGCAAUGAGACAAGUUCCAUGAUACACCAAUGUAACUGGAAUGUUGUCCUCUGGUUUUUCACUCCAGGACUAUACUAAGCAUCAGGUUGUCUCCCUCCCCUGACUAAGUAAGCAAAGUUUGGGAAAAUGGAUCAGUUUAGGACAUUAUAAGCACACAGCAUGGCCAAAAGUGAUAGCUGCCUUAGGAAAACUACGACAAGUCAGCACUGCUCCACAUAUUUCAUGAGGAAUGCUUUACUGGAGUUCAGAAUAAACAUUCCAAGUCUGGGAAUGCUGGUAGAUUA